GUGUGUGUGUGUGUGUGUGUGUGUGUGUACGUAUAAGCUUAUGAGUUUGCGUGUACGUGUGUGUGUGAGGUGCGUGUGUAUGUGUUUAUGUGCGUGCGCCUGACUUGUGAUCUCUCACCAAGCAGACGCACCCCCGACCCCGGCCCUCCGCGCGAGCGCCCGCCCACAUGACUCGGCGCCCACGGACGAUUCCUGCCGCUCGACCCCCCCCCCCUCUCCAACCCCUGUGAGCCGUCCUUAGCGCUGCGUCGAUUUCCUGGCACCAACCUUUAUCCAUUUCCCAUCCACUUGACAUGCAGUGGUACUUUUUGGUGCGCGAUUAGAAUCAAUAAAACAACACUUAAAAUGCAUGUAAGUACACCCGUAGUUUGCAAUGCCAUUUUAGUACACACAAGGAGAACAAAGGGUGCACAUCACCCAACACACGUGCUGAAGGAAUACAGCGACCGAGCCCUAUCAGAACGCUUUAACGAACAGCAGCAGUGAAGUUUGCAAAAUUCCACCAAACAAACUGGUAUUGUAUAACGGAAGCAAGAGUGAAAGCCGUGGUGAGGCGAGAGUGCAACAGUACUUGAGAAGUGAAGCUAUUAUUGCUAGACCCUCAUAGCGUAUGGCAUGAAAUUAAGCACCUAUAACAGCGCUACAGACGACGUCGGGCAGUCGCAGUCUCCGCUCAUUCGUGAAGGCAAUACAUCAAAGAAGCUUAAAGGCGUCAGUAACAAUAUAUAUAUAUAUAUAAUAAAUAAAUAAAAAUAAAUAAAUGCGGCACGUAAGGAAAGGUCAGUGAAGCUGAUAGUGAGCACAAGCAGAGCAAUGACGAUUAAAAAAUGAAUGGGAAAAUGACUACCACUUUGGAAGAAAACUGACGGAUCAGACAGUGAUUAUUUACCACAAGUUUUCUCGUUAAUUUCUUCAUUUUCUCUCCCACGAAGUUUCACAGUACUGCUAUACUUUUUAUCCAUAAAAUUCAUUGUACAGACAAAAAGAGCACUUCAGUUCUUGCUUGUGACGUCACCAAAAUCCUGGUAUCAGCAAAAUGACUCGGUGUUUAUACCAAAAAAAAAAAAAAAAAAAAAAAAA